rnacentral:rRNA from 1 species
GUCCACGCCCUAAACGAUGAUGACUAGUUGUUGGAGGAGUUAAAUCCUUUAGUAACGCAGCUAACGCGUGAAGUCAUCCGCCUGGGGAGUACGGUCGCAAGAUUAAAACUCAAAGGAAUUGACGGGGCCCGCACAAGCGGUGGAUGAUGUGGUUUAAUUCGAUGCAACGCGAAAACCUUACCUACCCUUGACAUGCCAGUAAUGCUGCAGAAAUGCAGCGGUGCCCGAAAGGGAACAUGGACACAGGUGCUGCAUGGCUGUCGU